GCCGAUGUAGCUCAGGGGUAGAGCAACGGUUUCGUAAACCGUAGGUCGCCGGUUCAAACCCGGCCAUCGGCUCCA
rnacentral:tRNA from 1 species